rnacentral:siRNA from 1 species
ACCGAACUGUACAAUGCGGUGCGU